GAUCCUGGCUCAGGAUGAACGCUAGCUACAGGCUUAACACAUGCAAGUCGAGGGGCAGCAUGGUCUUAGCUUGCUAAGGCCGAUGGCGACCGGCGCACGGGUGAGUAACGCGUAUCCAACCUGCCUUACACUCUUGGACAGCCUUCUGAAGGGGAGAUUAAUACAAGAUGUUAUCAUGGGUAAGCAUUUUCGCAUGAUUAAAGGUUUACCGGUGUAAGAUGGGGAUGCGUUCCAUUAG
rnacentral:rRNA from 1 species